ensembl:lncRNA LINC01676 long intergenic non-protein coding RNA 1676
GUUCACCACUUUGUGUGUCCAAGGACCACCUACUUUUUACAUGUGACAAGAACUACCCACCUCCACUCUUCAGAUUGCCAUUUCAGGACACCUCCUACAUCUGAGGAAAUAUGCAUUGAUCUUGCAGUACUUUUCUCCUCCAAAUAAAAGUCAGUAUGAUAACAA